rnacentral:tRNA from 1 species
GGAGGAUUAGCUCAGCUGGGAGAGCACCUGCCUUACAAGCAGGAGGUCGGCGGUUCGAGCCCGUCAUCCUCCACCA